CUGGURCUGCAGGUUUUUGUUCAACCAGUCAAUGAAGAUGUAGCACUGUGAKAUUUUGACUACUGGGGUAAUGGAACAACAGUCACGGUUCUACCAGAUCCAAAUGCUGCCUCUGAUCCUCCGUCCCUAUUCGUCCUCAGUCCCCUGCAGACUCCCGGCUACACAGUGAAGCCAGCAAACGAGUCCAGUCCAAACGUCUGUCUGGUCACAAAUUUCCAUUCAAAGUGGGAAAAUGUGGUUCUGAAUUUGAAAAGGGGUCCGGUCGAUGUGAACACGACUGAUGCUGUUCUGAAGAAUAACGGCUACYACUUUGCUGCAUUCAGCAACGAAGCCAUCUACUCCUGUGGGGUAAACGGGACCUUUGGCAACAAUGAAGCUGAUGAUGAAUGUGGCAGCAUUUAUCCAGAAAAAGCCAAGCUGAACUUCUACCUGCUGCUGAUGAACGGAGUCCGAGUGGUGUUCACCAAAGCUCUGGCCUUCAGCACCGUCCUCACCA